GACGUAGGGCGCGAGCGUUGUCCGGAUUUAUUGGGCGUAAAGAGCUCGUAGGUGGUUUGUCGCGUUGUCCGUGAAAACUCACAGCUUAACUGUGGGCGUGCGGGCGAUACGGGCAGACUGGAGUACUGCAGGGGAGACUGGAAUUCCUGGUGUAGCGGUGAAAUGCGCAGAUAUCAGGAGGAACACCCGGUGGCGUAAGGCGGGCUCUGGACGUAA
rnacentral:rRNA from 1 species